rnacentral:rRNA from 1 species
AUUGAACGCUGGCGGCAUGCCUUACACAUGCAAGUCGAACGGCAGCACGGGUGCUUGCACCUGGUGGCGAGUGGCGAACGGGUGAGUAAUACAUCGGAACAUGUCCUGUAGUGGGGGAUAGCCCGGCGAAAGCCGGAUUAAUACCGCAUACGAUCUACGGAUGAAAGCGGGGGACCUUCGGGCCUCGCGCUAUAGGGUUGGCCGAUGGCUGAUUAGCUAGUUCGUGGGGUAAAGGCCUACCAAGGCGACGAUCAGUAGCUGGUCUGAGAGGAAGACCAGCCACACUGGGACUGAGACACGGCCCAGACUCCUACGGGAGGCAGCAGUGGGGAAUUUUGGACAAUGGGCGAAAGCCUGAUCCAGCAAUGCCGCGUGUGUGAAGAAGGCCUUCGGGUUGUAAAGCACUUUUGUCCGGAAAGAAAUCCUUGGCCCUAAUACGGUCGGGGGAUGACGGUACCGGAAGAAUAAGCACCGGCUAACUACGUG